GUUGGGUGAUCAAAACUCUGCCAUAUAAACCGACCCUUAGAGUCAUGAAGAACCAUGUUACCAUUUGAGAGUAACUUGAACCCAACAACGCCUUUAUUGGCAGUGUUGGUUUGCCAAGCAAUCCGGCCAUCAGCAUCGGCCAAAACAAGGUUUCCAUCAGUUCCAAAUGUGAGGGUGGCAUUUUCACCAACUGGGUUGCCACGGUUGGCUUCCCAAACCCAACGCAUAAGUGACUCAGACCUCACUGUACCCAUGCGCAGAGCAAGAGUAUAUGCAUUAGGAGUGGUGUUAUAAAAGCAAAGUUGAAAGGGCUGGGCAAAGGGGUCUAAGACUCGGUAAUUGGCACCAUACUCCACAAUAUAAUCCCCAAAUUCACCUUCAUUGACAUACUUGAAGGUUGCAGAAGGAGGAACAGAGGCUUGAGCGAUGGCGAAGGAUAAGCAAAGUGAGAGCAAUAGUUGGUGAAGAGAAAACAUUUUGGUUUGCUUGCUAGUUUUUGGGUUUGGUUGGUAUAUAAAAUCAAGGUAGAGAUGUACUCUUUUAUAGGAGAAAUGGAGGAGGAGGUUUUAGCCGGUCAAAUUGAAUUGCAAGUUGAACGUGGUGGGCUUCAUUUAAUUUUUUUAAAAUGCCUUUCUGUUUAUGUUGAUUUUGUUUAUAUUAAUUUUAUAUGAUCUUAUCUCUAAGCUUUAAUAAAGUUAUAAAAUAAUAUUAUAUCUUCAGGUUAAGAGAAGUUAUUGUAAAAAAUAUCAUAUAAAGAUGAACAGAAUUGGGGAGCGUAUAAAGAAUCAAGACUUUUCUAGAAUCGCACAGCUUGGAUUUUCUUGGACGCAUAUAAUUAUAGAUGGCUUCCCACUCUGGUUUUGGGUCAAACACUGAGUUCUGUCCAUAUCGACGUCUUUGAAUCCAUUCUUCAAGAGCCCACAAUAAAUUUUAUUCUUUAAUAAAUAUAUUUUUUAUAAAAAUUUCACACUGAUAUCGUAUUAUAUGAAAAAUUUUAAAUAUCAAUCGUUAUACUUACAGAUAAAAGCGAAUAAUUUUAUUGAUUUAAGCUGUUUUUAUUUAUAGAAAAUAAUUUAUAUUUUAAAAAUAUUUUUUAUAAAAAUAUUUUUCAAUAAUGUUAUUAUUAUUUAAUUUUAAUUUAAACAAUAAAAUAUAUUAUUAAAUUUAUAUCACGACUAUUAAAAAAGUUUUCAAAGUUAAAACGUUUACAGGUUGAUUUAAGUAUACAUUAAAUAUAAUAAUAAUAAACUAAAACUCAUAAAAUAUUAAUUCAAGGAAAGAAAAUGAAUUAAAAUAUUUCUUUUAAACACGUAUAUAGGUCAACAUAUCACGUUACGCUCCAUAUAAUGAUUUCGCUCCGUAAAAUUGUGAUUAUAUAUAUAAUAUUUAUAUUAAAUUAAAAUUAAAUUUUAUUAAUAUUGAGUCAAUUUGUUAAAAUAUUUUUAAUAAAUAUUUAUUUUAUUUAUGAAAAUAAAAUUUUUAAAUUCAUUUAAACAAAAUAUUAAGUCAUUAAUUUCAACAUCUAUUGAUUAUAAAAUUGUGAAUUUUAAUUUAAGGAUACGGUAUUUUUUCUGAAAGUAGAUGUCAUGCUUAUGACAUUUAAUGUAAGAUGUCCUGCUUAUGCCACUGAAUGUAAGACUGCAUAUUUUCAUGUUUUAAUUUUUUAUAAAUUUAUUCAAAAAAAACUUAUAAUAUAAUUAUUUUAUAUAGAACCAAUUUCAUAUACAUCGCAUCAUAAUUAAUAAUUAAUAUGUAACCAUGCUGCUUUAAAUAUGUUUCGUAUUUGAGUGGAUUGAGAGAUUUUAAAUUUUAUUUUUUUUAAUUUUUAAUUUUUAUUAAAAAAAAUAUUACAUAUAAUUUUUUUAAAAAAAAAUUCAUGUAUAGUUAGAGUUUAAUCUAUAUUUUAAAUUUUAAAAUUUAAAUUUAAUUAAGAAUGAUAUUGGAUUUUGCUUUGAAAUAUUAACAAUUAAAAGUUUACCAAAAAUUUAAAAUUUUCUAAAAUAGCAAAUCAGAAACGUAUGGUCAAGUUUAACAUAAUUUGAUAAAAAACAGUUAAAAUUUAAUUGUGAUCUUUUUAUAUAUAUAUAAAAAAAAAAAUUGAUGCAAAUUGGCGAAGGGAGGACAAGCUCUGAAGAAACAAAAUUAUGACGGUGUAUUUGGGUUGAAACUAAGAGCAAGGCCUUUUAGAUUUGAGGGGAAAAAGAUAAAAUCAAAGGGUGGUAAACAAUUUUGUUUGGGAAUUUAUUGUUCAUCUAUUUUUUCUUUUUACCAAAUGCAGUUGAUAUUAUAUUUUUCUAAAGCAGUAACACACUCAGUCCAGCUCAAAACACAGUGAGAUAGAGAUCCAACCCAGAUAAUGCAGUCCAGACCAUCAAAAGAUUCUUGGAGUUCCAAGCAAGCAUCACCAAUAAUCCCUGCAACCCCUCGCUCCUAACACCGCCUACAAGCACCAUCAAAAUCAACAAGCAUCGUCAAAGCCGCUAAACUGUUGAAGACCAGAACAACAACACCUAAAGGACCCAUCCACACUAACAAAUAGGCUCAAAAUCAUUGCAUAUCAAGCCAAACAAUCCACAAUCAAUAGUCAGUUUAUAAUUUAUUACAAUAUAAAAAGAAAAAUAGAUAAUAUUUUAAAAUAAUUACAAAAAUGAUGAAUAAAAAAUUAUGAGACAAAUAGAAUAAUUAAUAAAGUAAUUUAUAAUUUUUAUCUACUAUAUAUUAAAAAAUUGGUGUAUUUUAGUCAUAUAUCAAUUUUUUUUCCAAAUAUAGAUAAUAGAUUUUAUAUAUUUACGAGAAAUUAUAUAUUCUUGAAAAUUUUACCCAUUUUUUUUUCUUGAAAAUAAAUGCAGCUAUACAUUCUUCCGUGAAAAUGCUAAAAACAGAAAAAUUUACUGGCUUUGGAGGUAAAUAUUAGAAAUUACUUGCCAUAUUCUUCCUUAUCCUUCCAUUUAUUGUUCAUACUUACAUAUAUAACCUUAAGACCGAGCUAAAUAUACACGCCCCUAAAAUCACUUGUUCGGCGUUUUAAUGAAGCCCAAAUGUGUAGAAUUAUUAACCUUUGUCAAGGUUUUGAGAUCAUAGGCAAUCCAGCACUUGAAUGACUGGGUGUGGUAGAAAUAACCCAAACACUUGCAAUCCUUAGUGCAUUUGCUGCUACAAGCAUUCAGCUUCAUAGGUCCAUCUCCAUUUGUGUAUUUGGAAUUGAAAUGAUCAAUCCCUUCUAGUUUGUCGUAGUGAAAAUCUUUCACUCUACAUGAAGAUAUUUUUGGUGGCCUGCAGUUCUUGCUCCAGCCCAGCAAGCCUUUUGGUGAUGGACAAGCAACACACUGAUCAUACUGGCAUAGCCCAAAGUUUCCGCACCUUUCUGGCAAUUGGCAUUCUGUUUCCCAAGAGUCUUUAGAAAAUAGAGUGUAGGUUACUUGCCAAGCACUCCAAUCUGCAUCGUCUUCAUAAGUGUGUAUCUUAAGGUUUCCAUCUAUUUCCAACCGAAGAUAAGACAAUGAGGUAUCGUAUUUAGGCCUUCUAAGAGUGAGAGUUCCACCAGAAGAGGACUUAGAACCCUGGUAUUCUAAAGAUAAACCUGAGAUAAAUGUUACACGAUUCAAAGGACCCUCUAAUAUACUUAAAAGAUCAGAAAAUGAGAAGUAAAGCAAAGAUUUUGGGGAAUUUGGAGAUUUGUAGUACAUGGCUAAGGUCUUGUCCUCCAUGACCAAACUAUAAGCACCAUUGGCGUUCUGUUUUUCAGAAGCACGACUCACAAGCUUGGUUGAAGCCCCUAGCUUUAGAGAUUGACCCACUAAAAGGGUAUCAGUUGGGUGAUCAAAACUCUGCCAAAUAAACCGACCCUUAGAGUCAUGAAGAACCAUGUUACCAUUCGAGAGUAACUUGAACCCAACAACGCCUUUAUUGGCAGUGUUGGUUUGCCAAGCAAUCCGGCCAUCAGCAUCGGCCAAAACAAGGUUUCCAUCAGUUCCAAAGGUGAGGGUGGCAUUUUCACCAACUGGGUUGCCACGGUUGGCUUCCCAAACCCAACGCCUAAGUGACUCAGACCUCAUUGUACCCAUACGCAGAGCAAGAGUAUAUGCAUUAGGAGUGGUGUUAUAAAAGCAAAGUUGAAAUGGGUGGGCAAAUGGAUCUAAGACUCGGUAAUUGGCAUCAUACUCCACAAUAUAAUCCCCGAAUUCACCUUCAUUGACAUAUUUGAAG
rnacentral:lncRNA from 1 species